CACGUAGGGCGCAAGCGUUGUCCGGAAUUAUUGGGCGUAAAGAGCUCGUAGGCGGUCUGUUGCGUCCGCUGUGAAAACUCGGGGCUUAACCCCGAGCCUGCAGUGGAUACGGGCAGACUAGAGGUAGGUAGGGGAGAAUGGAAUUCCCGGUGUAGCGGUGAAAUGUGUUGAUAUCGGAAGGAACGCCGGUGGCGAAAGCGACGCACUGGGUCUUAACUGACGCUGAGGCACGAAAGCCAGGGGAGCGAACGGG
rnacentral:rRNA from 1 species